AGAGUUUGAUCCUGGCUCAGGAUGAACGCUGGCGGCGUGCCUAAUACAUGCAAGUCGAGCGAACAGACGAGGAGCUUGCUCCUCUGACGUUAGCGGCGGACGGGUGAGUAACACGUGGAUAACCUACCUAUAAGACUGGGAUAACUUCGGGAAACCGGAGCUAAUACCGGAUAAUAUAUUGAACCGCAUGGUUCAAUAGUGAAAGACGGUUUUGCUGUCACUUAUAGAUGGAUCCGCGCCGCAUUAGCUAGUUGGUAAGGUAACGGCUUACCAAGGCGACGAUGCGUAGCCGACCUGAGAGGGUGAUCGGCCACACUGGAACUGAGACACGGUCCAGACUCCUACGGGAGGCAGCAGUAGGGAAUCUUCCGCAAUGGGCGAAAGCCUGACGGAGCAACGCCGCGUGAGGGAUGAAGGUCUUCGGAUCUUAAAACUCUGUUAUUAGGGAAGAACAAAUGUGUAAGUAACUAUGCACGUCUUGACGGUACCUAAUCAGAAAGCCACGGCUAACUACGUGCCAGCAGCCGCGGUAAUACGUAGGUGGCAAGCGUUAUCCGGAAUUAUUGGGCGUAAAGCGCGCGUAGGCGGUUUUUUAAGUCUGAUGUGAAAGCCCACGGCUCAACCGUGGAGGGUCAUUGGAAACUGGAAAACUUGAGUGCAGAAGAGGAAAGUGGAAUUCCAUGUGUAGCGGUGAAAUGCGCAGAGAUAUGGAGGAACACCAGUGGCGAAAGGCGACUUUCUGGUCUGUAACUGACGCUGAUGUGCGAAAGCGUGGGGAUCAAACAGGAUUAGAUACCUGGUAGUUCACGCCGUAAACGAUGAGUGCUAAGUUGUUAGGGGGUUUCCGCUCCUUAGUGCUGCAGCUAACGCAUUAAGCACUCCGCCUGGGGAGUACGACCGCAGGUGAAAACUCAAAGGAAUGGACG
rnacentral:rRNA from 1 species